rnacentral:rRNA from 1 species
AACGGCCGUACCAUGCUGAAUAUACCGGUUCUCGUUAGAUCACCGAAGUCAAGCAUCAUUGGGCGCGGUCAGUACUUGGGUGGGUGACCACCUGGGAACAUCGCGUGCCGUU